ACGUAGGGGGCGAGCGUUGUCCGGAAUUACUGGGCGUAAAGGGUACGUAGGCGGCUAGGUAAGUCAGGUGUGAAAUCCAUGGGCUCAACCCAUGUAAGCACUUGAAACUGCUUAGCUUGAGUUAAGGAGAGGAAAGCGGAAUUCCUGGUGUAGCGGUGAAAUGCGUAGAUAUCAGGAGGAACACCAGUGGCGAAGGCGGCUUUCUGGCCUUGGACUGACGCUGAGGUACGAAAGCGUGGGGAGCAAACAGGA
rnacentral:rRNA from 1 species